GGGUAGAGUGAGUCUAACAUUCACAGGAACUUCCCAGCCAUAUGCAGGAUCCUUCAGCUUCAAAACAAAUACGACUUCAUACAUUAUUUCCGGUGAAAGGUUAGCUGUAUCGAAUUUUCCGUGAAUAUCUAGCCAGCAAACGUUUAGCAGUUCAGCAACAGCAACGGAUUUAUCACUGCAAAACAACAAAUAACCUCAGGAUUUUCGAAGUCUAUAUUAUAAGUUUUAUGGCAUAUGUGAUACUCCCACAUAAAAUUAGAGUCCGUUUGGCCCCGUUAAUUUUCAUUUUGCAUUUUCAGUUUCAAAUUAAGUUGGCCUGCCGUAUUUGGAUAAAGUGUGAAUUGAUGACCAAAAUACGGGUGAUUUUGACUUCUGAAUCCAUUGAUAAGUCCAAAAAAGUCAUUGAUUUCCUAUUUUACCCUUUCAUUACGUUUUUCCACACAGCAAUUCCUUUAAGUUGGUGUGGGGGUAGUAACGUAAUUUUGACUUGUAAAAGUAGGGUAACAACGUCCACUAUGCUUCCAAUGGCAAAGUUGAUAUCGAUGUGUAUCUGAAAAAGUUGUCUUACAUUUACAAUUUUUCAAUGGUUAUGUUCUUAUAGCAAAAAUGUAGAAAGGCCAAAUAAUCUCAUUAAUAUGGCUGAGAAUUAGUUGUGUUGCUCUUAUAUGAUUGGCUUGUCCAUAUUGAAAGUAAAAUAGUUAGCCAACCUCUUUGUUCUCAUAAAUACAGGUGCCGUUUCUGUAUUCAUUCCAUGGCCGUGGAUUAUCGUAAGGUGAGACUUUAGGAUAUUUUUUUAGUAUGCAUAGCUUUGGGAAGAUUUCAGUCGAACUACUUUGUACCGAUAAUUGUUGAGAUUACC
rnacentral:lncRNA from 1 species